CCUACGGGCGGCAGCAGUGAGGAAUAUUGGUCAAUGGGCGCGAGCCUGAACCAGCCAAGUAGCGUGAAGGAUGACUGCCCUCCGGGUUGUAACCUUCUUUUAUAAAGGAGUAAAGUGAGGCACGUGUGCAUUUCUGUAUUUACUUUAUGAAUAAGGAACGGCUAACUCCGUGCCAGCAGCCGCGGUAAUACGGAGGAUCCGAGCGUUAUCCGGAUUUAUUGGGUUUAACGGGAGCGUAGAGGGGUGGUUAAGUCAGAUGUGAAAGUCUGCGGCUCAACCUUAGAAUUGCAUUUGAUACUGGCAGCCUUGAGUACAGUUGAGGUAGGCGGAAUUCGUGGUGUAGCGGUGAAAUGCGUAGAUAUCACGAAGAACUCCGAUUGCGAAGGCAGCCUACUAAGCUGCCACUGACGUUGAUGCACGAAAGCGUGGGUAGCAAACAGGAUUAGAUACCCCAGUAGUC
rnacentral:rRNA from 1 species